rnacentral:sRNA from 12 species
UCUGGAUAAACUUGUAUCCAUCCAAGAGAAUGGAGUAAGUCACUUUACGGAAAUUAAAAUAAGUAAAACAUUUUAGGGUUGACAAAGACUUACUAUAAGUGAAAUUCUGAAAUAUCAGGAUAACCGUAUGUCCUUUAGCACUGUUUGUGUUAUAAAAAUAAUCUUAAAUAACUUUGAUUAAGUUUUUGAGUUACGGUUCU